UACGUAGGUGGCGAGCGUUGUCCUGAAUUACUGGGUGUAAAGGGAGCGUAGGCGGGAGUGCAAGUUGAAUGUUAAAUCUAUCGGCUCAACCGAUAGCCGCGUUCAAAACUGCAUUUCUUGAGUGAAGUAGAGGUUGGCGGAAUUCCUAGUGUAGCGGUGAAAUGCGUAGAUAUUAGGAGGAACACCAGUGGCGAAGGCGGCCAACUGGGCUUUUACUGACGCUGAGGCUCGAAAGCGUGGGGAGCAAACAGGAUUAGAUACCCUGGUAGU
rnacentral:rRNA from 1 species